CUUUUACUUCCUCCGUUCGGAAUUACUUGUCUCGGAAAUGAAUGUAUCUAGAACUAAAAUAUGUCUAGAUACAUCCAUUUCUGCGACAAGUAAUUCCGAACGGAGGGAGUAGAAU
rnacentral:pre_miRNA from 1 species